rnacentral:rRNA from 1 species
CUCAGAGUGAACGCUGGCGGUAGGCCUAACACAUGCAAGUCGAACGGCAGCACAGGAGAGCUUGCUCUCUGGGUGGCGAGUGGCGGACGGGUGAGGAAUACAUCGGAAUCUACCUUUUCGUGGGGGAUAACGUAGGGAAACUUACGCUAAUACCGCAUACGACCUUCGGGUGAAAGCAGGGGACCUUCGGGCCUUGCGCGGAUAGAUGAGCCGAUGUCGGAUUAGCUAGUUGGCGGGGUAAAGGCCCACCAAGGCGACGAUCCGUAGCUGGUCUGAGAGGAUGAUCAGCCACACUGGAACUGAGACACGGUCCAGACUCCUACGGGAGGCAGCAGUGGGGAAUAUUGGACAAUGGGCGCAAGCCUGAUCCAGCCAUACCGCGUGGGUGAAGAAGGCCUUCGGGUUGUAAAGCCCUUUUGUUGGGAAAGAAAAGCAGUCGGCUAAUACCCGAUUGUUCUGACGGUACCCAAAGAAUAAGCACCGGCUAACUUCGUGCCAGCAGCCGCGGUAAUACGAAGGGUGCAAGCGUUACUCGGAAUUACUGGGCGUAAAGCGUGCGUAGGUGGUUGUUUAAGUCUGUUGUGAAAGCCCUGGGCUCAACCUGGGAAUUGCAGUGGAUACUGGACGACUAGAGUGUGGUAGAGGGUAGUGGAAUUCCUGGUGUAGCAGUGAAAUGCGUAGAGAUCAGGAGGAACAUCCAUGGCGAAGGCAGCUACCUGGACCAACACUGACACU